rnacentral:rRNA from 1 species
CCUACGGGAGGCAGCAGUGGGGAAUAUUGGACAAUGGGGGAAACCCUGAUCCAGCGACGCCGCGUGAGUGAAGAAGUAUUUCGGUAUGUAAAGCUCUAUCAGCAGGGAAGAAAAUGACGGUACCUGACUAUGAAGCCCCGGGUAACUACGUGCCAGCAGCCGCGGUAAUACGUAGGGGGCAAGCGUUAUCCGGAUUUACUGGGUGUAAAGGGAGCGUAGGCGGCAACGCAAGUCUGGAGUGAAAUGCCGGGGCCCAAACCCGGAACUGCUCUGGAAACUGGGAAGCUUGAGUGCAGGAGAGGGAAGCGGAAUGCGUGGUGUAGCGGUGAAAUGCGUAGAUAUCAGGAGGAACACCGGCGGCGAAGGCGGCUUACUGGACUGUAACUGACGCUGAGGCACGAAGGCGUGGGGAGCAAACAGGAUUAGAUACCCUAGUAGUC